ACUCUCUCAGCUCUGCACAGUCACACUAGUUGACACACAUGUGACUUUCAUAAUGGGGAGAGAGAGAAAGGAGCUCCUCAGGACCUCAGAUUAGCCUUAUGGUGGCUACUCUUCCCUUGAGGAGCAUGACAGGC